rnacentral:rRNA from 1 species
UCGAUAUUCUGGUGUCCUAGGCGUAGAGGAACCACACCAAUCCAUCCCGAAUUUGGUGGUUAAACUCUACUGCGGUGACGAUACUGUAGGGGAGGUCCUGCGGCAAAAUAGCUCGA